CCAAAGGCUCUUUUAAGAGCCACCCACGUACUCCAUAAAGGAGCUG
rfam:Eurypyga helias contig15772, whole genome shotgun sequence.